GACAGAGGGUGCAAACGUUGUUCGGAAUUACUGGGCGUAAAGCGUGUGUAGGCGGUCCAUUAAGUCGGGUGUGAAAGCCCUGGGCUCAACCCAGGAAGUGCACUCGAAACUGGCGGGCUAGAGUAUCGGAGAGGUUGGUGGAAUUCUCGGUGUAGAGGUGAAAUUCGUAGAUAUCGAGAGGAACACCGGUGGCGAAGGCGGCCAACUGGACGAAUACUGACGCUGAGACACGAAAGCGUGGGGAGCAAACAGG
rnacentral:rRNA from 1 species